AACGAACGCUGGCGGCAGGCCUCAAACAUGCAAGUCUAGGGGUGUAGCAAUACACACCGGCGGACGGGUGCGUAACGCGUGGGAACAUACCUUUCGGUACGGAACAACUGCGGGAAACUGCAGCUAAUACCGUAUACGCCCUUACGGGGAAAGAUUUAUCGCCGAAGGAUUGGCCCGCGUUCGAUUAGCUAGUUGGUGGGGUAAAAGCUCACCAAGGCUACGAUCGAUAGCUGUUCUGAGAGGAAGAUCAGCCACACUGGGACUGAGACACGGCCCAGACUCCUACGGGAGGCAGCAGUUGGGAAUCUUGGACAAUGGGGGAAACCCUGAUCCAGCCAUGCCGCGUGAGUGAUGAAGGCCUUCGGGUUGUAAAACUCUUUCGACGGGGACGAUAAUGACGGUACCCGUACGAAGAAGCUCCGGCUAACUUCGUGCCAGCAGCCGCGGUAAU
rnacentral:rRNA from 1 species